AGUGAACGCUGGCGGUAGACCUAACACAUGCAAGUCGAACGGCAGCACAGUAAGAGCUUGCUCUUACGGGUGGCGAGUGGCGGACGGGUGAGGAAUACAUCGGAAUCUACUUUUUCGUGGGGGAUAACGUAGGGAAACUUACGCUAAUACCGCAUACGACCUACGGGUGAAAGCAGGGGAUCUUCGGACCUUGCGCGAUUGAAUGAGCCGAUGUCGGAUUAGCUAGUUGGCGGGGUAAAGGCCCACCAAGGCGACGAUCCGUAGCUGGUCUGAGAGGAUGAUCAGCCACACUGGAACUGAGACACGGUCCAGACUCCUACGGGAGGCAGCAGUGGGGAAUAUUGGACAAUGGGCGCAAGCCUGAUCCAGCCAUACCGCGUGGGUGAAGAAGGCCUUCGGGUUGUAAAGCCCUUUUGUUGGGAAGGAAAAGCAGCAGGUUAAUACCCCGCUGUUCUGACGGUACCCAAAGAAUAAGCACCGGCUAACUUCGU
rnacentral:rRNA from 1 species